rnacentral:sRNA from 1 species
UAGAUGCUGAAUGGAUGACAAGACCAAGCCUGUAACAGUGGAUUUCUCUGUCUCAAUUCCAGUGAGGGCCAAAAAAGAAGUUUCCCCACCACUGUCAGCCUCUGGGAAUUCUGUGGUGACUCAUUCAUUGGCUUUUCUCUCCCUUCCCAGGAUCUCAUAGAUCAGAACAUACUGGAGCCUGUAACCUGUGCACAGAGGGUGUGGAUUACACCAACGCUUCCAACAAUGAACCUUCUUGCUUCCCAUGUACAGUUUGUAAAUCAGAUCAAAAACAUAAAAGUUCCUGCACCAUGACCAGAGACACAGUGUGUCAGUGUAAAGAAGGCACCUUCCGGAAUGAAAACUCCCCAGAGAUGUGCCGGAAGUGUAGCAGGUGCCCUAGUGGGGAAGUCCAAGUCAGUAAUUGU